rnacentral:lncRNA from 1 species
CCGCACUGUCAUAAUUCAUAAAUAUAUGUCUACAACUACAUGACAUGUAUAAUUUCAUGCCAUUCUAGCUAAAACGAGUAGGCAAAAGCUUCAAUCGUCUGCCUACAUUUAUAAUGUAGAAUCAAGUAGCAUAUGAGAAAAUAGUUGCUUUGUAUAUAGAUGUACACACCAUGCUCCUUAGCCUGUAUUUCUCAAACGAAGCUCUCUAAGCAAAACUAAAUAUGUAGCAGAGAAAAACAAAUAUCAUCAGGUAUACAUUAUAUUCAGUUCAUCUAAAUCAACUUAUUUGACAAUGUGCACUACAUUUGAAAAUUUCCUUCAAUUCAUAAUCAAAUGAACCAUAUAAAACAUGUAAAUAAUGCUAUAUAGAACAUUCUCAGUCAAAUUGCCAUUAUACCAUCAGCAAAUUACCCGACCAAGAAAUGUUUACUCAACAAAUAACAAUCAAAACGAACCAGAUUUUGUCAGCUUAUUCCUAGGACGUGUGGCAACUCAUUUAAAAAAUUUCUUCCACCACAAAAAGUCAUUAAUUUAGCAAAAUCCUUUUGUGAUACAGUAAAACAAGGGAUCUGUGGGCUGAACCCUAGCCUAAACAAAUAAUUGAGGUAUAUUUUAUCCCCACAAAAAGAAAGAAUACCUCGCCCGAUGAUUAAGCAAAUAAUGUGACUACUAUCUAAGUCUUCGUUUUCCUCCUUAGCCGCUUUCUUAACUUCCUCAACUUGUGCUUGUUCAUCUUCCUCUUUCUCUUCUUCUUAACACUGUCAGCCCAUAUAGCCCGUGAAUCAUCCAAAACAAUGCCAUCUUCUCCGGGUCGAAUUGACCCGAUUAAAGAAUCUGGGUCAGACCAUGUCGUCCGAUAAUCAUCCAAAACGAAUUCGUUGAUACUGGAUCCAAUCGUUACGGUUGAAGAAACCGAAUUCAGGAAAAAUCCAAAAGAAAAACUCGGGUAGAC